UACGUAGGGUGCGAGCGUUGUCCGGAAUUAUUGGGCGUAAAGAGCUCGUAGGCGGUUUGUCGCGUCGACUGUGAAAACCCGAGGCUUAACCUCGGGCCUGCAGUCGAUACGGGCAGACUAGAGUUCGGUAGGGGAGACUGGAAUUCCUGGUGUAGCGGUGAAAUGCGCAGAUAUCAGGAGGAACACCGGUGGCGAAGGCGGGUCUCUGGGCCGAUACUGACGCUGAGGAGCGAAAGCGUGGGGAGCGAAC
rnacentral:rRNA from 1 species